rnacentral:rRNA from 1 species
AACAGAGGAUGCAAGCGUUAUCCGGAAUUAUUGGGCGUAAAGGGCUCGUAGGCGGUCUGUCGCGUCGGGAGUGAAAACUCAGGGCUUAACCCUGAGCCUGCUUCCGAUACGGGCAGACUAGAGGUAUGCAGGGGAGAAUGGAAUUCCUGGUGUAGCGGUGAAAUGCGCAGAUAUCAGGAGGAACACCGGUGGCGAAGGCGGUUCUCUGGGCAUUACCUGACGCUGAGGAGCGAAAGUGUGGGGAGCGAACAGG